rnacentral:rRNA from 1 species
AUUGAACGCUGGCGGCAUGCCUUACACAUGCAAGUCGAACGGCAGCACGGGAGCAAUCCUGGUGGCGAGUGGCGAACGGGUGAGUAAUAUAUCGGAACGUGCCCAGUCGUGGGGGAUAACGUAGCGAAAGCUACGCUAAUACCGCAUACGAUCUAUGGAUGAAAGCGGGGGAUCGCAAGACCUCGCGCGAUUGGAGCGGCCGAUAUCAGAUUAGGUAGUUGGUGAGGUAAAGGCUCACCAAGCCGACGAUCUGUAGCUGGUCUGAGAGGACGACCAGCCACACUGGGACUGAGACACGGCCCAGACUCCUACGGGAGGCAGCAGUGGGGAAUUUUGGACAAUGGGCGCAAGCCUGAUCCAGCAAUGCCGCGUGCAGGAU